CUUGCACUCAGCGGUCAAAGUGCGAGUGGCGAACGGGUGAGUAACACGUGGGCAAUCUGCCCAAAAGUGGGGGAUAACACUUGGAAACAGGUGCUAAUACCGCAUCAACCGGCUGACCGCAUGGUCGGCCGGGCAAAGACGGCGUCAGCUGUCGCUUUUGGAUGAGCCCGCGGCGUAUUAACUAGUUGGUAAGGUAACGGCUUACCAAGGUGAUGAUACGUAGCCGAACUGAGAGGUUGAUCGGCCACAUUGGGACUGAGACACGGCCCAAACUCCUACGGGAGGCAGCAGUAGGGAAUCUUCCACAAUGGACGCAAGUCUGAUGGAGCAACGCCGCGUGUAUGAAGAAGGUCUUCGGAUCGUAAAAUACUGUUGUCAGAGAAGAACACGUGAUAGAGUAACUGCUAUGACGCUGACGGUAUCUGACCAGCAAGUCACGGCUAACUACGUGCCAGCAGCCGCGGUAAUACGUAGGUGGCAAGCGUUGUCCGGAUUUAUUGGGCGUAAAGGGAACGCAGGCGGUCUUUUAAGUCUGAUGUGAAAGCCUUCGGCUUAACCGGAGAAGUGCAUUGGAAACUGGAAGACUUGAGUGCAGAAGAGGAGAGUGGAACUCCAUGUGUAGCGGUGAAAUGCGUAGAUAUAUGGAAGAACACCAGUGGCGAAAGCGGCUCUCUGGUCUGUAACUGACGCUGAGGUUCGAAAGCGUGGGGAGCGAACAGGAUUAGAUACCCUGGUAGUCCACGCUGUAAACGAUGAAUGCUAGGUGUUG
rnacentral:rRNA from 2 species